CUCCUCCUCCUCCCUCUCUCCUGGUCCCAGUUGUAGCAGGUCUGGUCUCUGUGGUUCUCCUGGUUCUGGUUCUGGGUGGAGUUCGGUUCCUCUGCAGUAAACUAAAAGGAGGUCGAGGAGCAGACCUGUGGAGCUGUGGAGGUGACGGCUGUCUGAGACGGAGCGUCUGCCUCUGCUUUUCAGGCCUGUUUCUGCUGACUGCUGCAGGUGUGUGUGUGCUGCUGCUGUCUGCUCUGGCUGUUUCUGCAGGUGAGUUGACGGUAACAUGAACUCUGAGGUGAUGUAGGUGCUCUGUGGUCGCUGCUCCAUCAUCAUGUCUAACAAUCCUCGGUCAGCCUCUUCUUCUUCUUCUCUCCUUUAUCUGACUGACUGUUUACAGCUGAUAAAUAAAGUUUCAGCUUCUCUGUUCAGGUUUCCAUGCUAACAUUAAGAGCUGCUGUUUUUAAUGUUAAUGUUUCACUGCUGUUGGAACGACUUUUAAACUUAAACUUUGUGACUGUAGGAACUCCUUGACACCACUUCAUUCUGAACUUCUAAGAGACCAUUUUAGAAAAAAACGAUGUGUGUUUAUGGCACAAAGCUGGACUGCUCCUUUGUUCAGGGUCUGACUGGGGUGUUGGUUCUGAUUCUGAACAAAUUUAAAGGCUCCAUCAGCUUCUGGAGUCAUAGCCACUCUUCUUUUUCUUGAGCUUGG